rnacentral:rRNA from 1 species
CCUACGGGAGGCUGCAGUGAGGAAUAUUGGUCAAUGGACGAGAGUCUGAACGAGCCAAGUAGCGUGAAGGAUGACUGCCCUAUGGGUUGUACACUUCUUUUAUAUGGGAAUACAAUGUUCCAAGUGUGGGAUUUUGUCUGUACCAUAUGAAUAAGGAUCGGCUAACUCAGUGCCAGCAGCCGCGGUAAUACGGAGGAUCCGUGCGUUAUCCGGUUUUAUUGGGUUUAACGGGAGCGUAGGUGGAUUGUUAAGUCAGAUGUGAAAGUUUGCGGCUCAACCGUAAAAUUGCAGUUGAAACUGGCAGUCUUGAGUACAGUAGAGGUGGGCGGAAUUCGUGGUGUAGCGGUGAAAUGCUUUGAUAUCACGAGGAACUCCGGUUGCGAAGGCAGUUCACUGGACUGCAACUGACGCUGAGGCUCGAAAGUGUGGGUAGCAAACAGGAUUAGAUACCCGGGUAGUC